rnacentral:rRNA from 1 species
CGUAGGGCGCGAGCGUUGUCCGGAUUUAUUGGGCGUAAAGAGCUCGUAGGCGGUUUGUCGCGUCUGCUGUGAAAACCCGAGGCUCAACCUCGGGCCUGCAGUGGGUACGGGCAGACUAGAGUGCGGUAGGGGAGAUUGGAAUUGCCUGGUGUAGCGGUGGAAUGCGCAGAUAUCAGGAGGAACACCAAUGGCGAAGGCAGAUCUCUGGGCCGUAACUGACGCUGAGGAGCGAAAGCAUGGGGAGCGAACAGG